UGAAAACCUCAUCAUUUGGGAUACUUUCAACUUGAGAACAGUAGAAAACUUCAUGGUUACUCUAAAGCCAAGGACUAGUCUCUCAGGUCCCAGCGUGAUCACUUACUACUCUAAGAAGCCUGUCCUGAACUAACAAGAGUGGGUCAGCAUAGCAAAAUGAGUAAACAACUGACAGGUGAAGAGUUUGCACAACAGAAGACCACUCUGACCAUCUCUUGAUUUUACAGGGAUCAUAGGUGGAUACGGCCAUUUCAUUUCUGGAUCACACUCCUCCCUCAGUAAAGUCAGU